UCAGCGCAUGCGCCAGACGCAAACUGCGGCGACCCUGGAGAGGCAGUCCUUUAACUGGCAUCAGCGCUGCGGCUGGAGGCGCGGGUGUCGCUCAGUUGACUGUCCAGUUCUACCUUGGUCUGUGCAGCAGCCCUAGAUCUGCGAACUCUGUGCCGCCGCUCCCUGUACCCUGUCUUGAGGCAGCAAGCGCUAAGAAUUCAUGCUACGACACUCGAUUCUGCCCGGAGAUAGCCAUGUCUUUGGCUAUGGGUGUGGGAAGAAGACAUGGCAACAUCUUGUCUUUAAAAAGAAACCAACUUAGACAAGACACAAAACAGAACCUUCUCCCCCAUCUGAUCUGGGACUGAUCUUCCUUUGAAUACUUCUGAGUGAUCUGGAGGAGGAUGUGGACAUAGUGUAACAUCCACAUUUAUAGGUGACACCAGAUGUGAUCAGAAGCCAUGCCAUUGGUGAAGAGGUAUAUUGAGCCCCGUCUAGCCCAGUGAGGUUACUAGAAAAUUGGGAGAGGCUUAAACCAACAUCCUGCACAUGGUUAUCAAAUCGUUGUGAAGUCUGAAAAUCACCUAGGAUGCCUCUAAAAAUGCAGAUUCCUGGGCAGCCAGAAACCUUGUCCUUGGUCAACACUACCACCUACCUGUCACUUAUAUUGCGGCUUCCUGCCCAGUGGGUUCAUCAGCAAGCCAGAAUGAAUCUCCUCCAUUGCCAUAGAUGUCCUUGUGAGGUGGAAGCCUUGGAGACCUUUAGAAACAACUUGUCAAGUCCUCACCAUGAAUACCAUUAGAAUUGCAGUUGGAAUGGCACAGAUUAAUUUUUGAAGAGCUGUCAUCUUUAUAAUCUUCUAAUACAUGAAUGUGAAGUGCUUCCUCCAUCCUGCAAGCUUCUGGGAACUCAGUGCCCAUUGUAUACAGGAUAUGUAUCCACUGAAGACCAUUAUGCCCUCCAAUAUAAGGCUAACUUGUGUUCUCACUACAAAAGUUUAGAAUCAGAGAGUUUCUUCUCUCUGCUGCAUUUUGAGCUGCCAGGCACUGUGCUAGAUGAUGGGGAUAUGGAGACGGACUUAGACAGAGUCCCUGCCUUCAGGAGUUCUUAGUCUAGUGAGAGAGUUCGACGUGUGCACAGAUAAUUACAACAGUAUGGUAUGCUCUGCAAUGGAGUCUUGGCUACUUGCAGACGUUGCAUGGCUGCUGCUGCUGCUACUACUACUACUACUACUACUACUACUACAGUUGCUGCUGGUUGCUCCUUGGGUAGGACCAAAAUGAUCAUUGAUCAGAAACUUCAUCCUCACAGUCUGGGGUUUGCUCCUGUGGCUGGUAUUCACAGUUUCCCCUUUCAACUUUACCUCAGCUAUCCCCUUACCUACACUGACAGGUAGGCCUCCCCUUUCCGUUCACCACCCAACAGGCUCAUAUUUCUUUUCUUAUUUCAUAUGAUUAAUUAUUCUUAUUCCAUGAGAAGCCUUCUUUCUGUUAGAAGAUGUGACAACUAGAAUACAAGUUAAACGAUUCCAUCAGGGUGCUACAGUGAGUCAUAGAAGUUUCCCCUUUACUGUGGGAGAAAAUUGCAGACUUUGGGGCAGGAAGAACUGAGAAGGGAGUCCUCGUAGAUGUGGGAGAGAAAGCUGGUAACAAAUGGAAUAAGAUCCUGAGAGGUGAUGUGGGUUCGGAGGGUGAAACCUAUGGCUUUAAAAUAUGGGUAGAGAGGAAUAAUAGCCUUAGUUGAAAGAAAUUACCUCCUCACUGGAGCAUAGGGAUAGGAGUUAGGAAGAGUACCUAAUAAGGGUGUUAAAGAUGUGUAAUUGUGGAGGUGAAUGAUGGAGAGAAAGCUGACCAGCGACAGGAUUUUGGAGACAAACCAGAGUCUAAGGAAUAUUCGGACCAAAAGGCUGGAGUUGGGCCUUUUGGUAUGUUCAAGUGAGGUACUAUUAUAUUAUAUCAACUUAUAUAUUCAGUUUAACUGAGAAACUAGCUUGAAACUCGAUUAGAAACUCAGGAAAUUAAAGUGGUUUUAGGCCAUUGUCACAAGUAAACUUGUUUGCCUAGGACUGACCUAUACUGUUUGAGGAGUAGACAGCUAGUGAGAGAGGGAUUACACAGAAAUGAAUUUGAAAAUCCAGACUAUAUGUGUAAGGCAGUUAGGUCAGAAGUGAGCUCAAAGUCUGAAUAAAAAGAGGACUUAAUGUGAUCAAGAUGGGUGUUGAAUGGUUGGAAAAUUGGAAUAAUAGGACCUACGAUCAGAGAGUGGAUUUUGAAACCUUGAGAUUUCAAAAUUGGAAUGGUCAAGAUACUUGCAAAGCUAGGAUGUCAGAUGGUCAGUUAUAUAAAUAUUGAAGUGACCCAGGAUUAUAGCAGAAGCUGCGCUGGGAAUGGAUGCUGUGGGCCAGAUAUAAUAGGCUUCAGUGACUGAGGAAUGAUUAGAGGUUGGCUCAUGGCAGCUGUGCAGAUGCAAAAGAAGAAAGGGUGUAGUGAGAUAGUAGUGUGAGCCACAGAAGGGUGGUAGGGAUUACUAGAAGUUACAAAAAUUAUGAUUUGCACAUUGCAUUGCAGUGUGGGCUUGCAGAAUGCCCAGCUAAAAUGAUCCCCUCCUUUACUGAGUGAGUGCCUGCUGUAUCCUCAGCACCUUGCCCUGUGCUAAUCCAUUUACCCCUUUUGGGUCUGUCAUCUAGCAGGUAUGAGAGAAUGAGCAGCAGUCCCAAGCAAGGACAGCUAGGGGAGCUGCUGGCCCUUAGAACUGAUGGAAUGCUGUGGUCAUAUCUCAGCAGACUGGUCAGCUUGAUGUGACCCAAAAAGGUUUCUUUAGGAUCAAAAUUUUCCCUGACCUUGACCUAACUUUAUUACAUGGUACAAGCUUGUGUUGGCCGUUCCAUAAUGAACUUUGGCUUCUGAGUCGCUGAGUUGAGGAGGAUGCUGGUACUGUCCUUUAGGAAAAAACAGGCACAACACUUUAAAAACACACAUAUUGAUGAAGUAGGACAAGACCGUCUGGUUAUCUAAUUGAGCUUUUAAGAUAAAGGAUAGAUGAAAGAAAGCUCGCAUCGAUGGGGGAAAAACAAAACCACUUGGUGAAAGCCACUCUAAAGUCAGGAUACAUCCAGUUUUGUGGACAUACUGUUGAUAUCAGCUGUGCCUUUGCAAAGGAGGGCUGGAGAUUGAUGCAAAGUCCCUUAGGACUUUGAAGGCCAAGUGUAGGAGAAGAGAGUCCUAUGAACCCUGUGACAUUUCAUGUAGUCAUUGUUCUUUAGUUAUAGUCUUCAUAUGAGUCAAUAUUUCAAUGAAGGUUUAGAGCCACUGUGAUAGAAUGACCAGGCAGGCCCUCAGACAGCCCAUCCCCUCCUGUGGGGUCUGCUUUAUAUUUAUUCCUUAGGAGGAUCUGGUAGAAGACUUUGUGCAAGGCAGAAGAAAAGGAAGGACGUGGAGAAUGACUACCGCCUGUCUUCAUCUCAGCUUCACAAAGCAUGACUCAACAGAAGGAUCAUUCUCUUGAGACUCUCCAGACCACAGGCCAUCUGAAGCAGCCAUCAUCUGGGAGAAGCCUUGUUGUGAAAGAGUAAAUGAAGCCUCAGUGAGUGUUUGGAGUGGCACCCAUGUUUUUCUCUGGAUAUAAGGAGAGAGAAGAAGGCUGUGAAAUACCAUACUGGAGUAACAGAAAUUUGACAUUUUAGUAGAUAACUGGACCUAGAAACCUACAUUAAUGAAGGAAGCAAACCUGAGAUCUCUGAUGUUUGUGAGUGAAGAUAGGAAUGAACUCCUUAUUACCCUUAGUAAUGGAGAGAGGGGAGAAAAGUGAGGGAGGUCAUAAAAUCCUUUAUGUCCCUGGAGGAGGCCCUGAGAUUUGCUUCAUAAACCAGUUUUUAAGGUGGAUUAAAGAUGAGUUGUUGCACUACUUCCAUUGCUCUUGGUGUGAGAGUCUCUGCUAAGCACUCUUCUCAGGUACAGCUGCCUUUGUGAAAAUUUCUGUUGUGACCCCUAUUGGGAAACAACCCAGAACAAGGUUUGCAACUUAGAAAUCUCUGGAUCAGUGACAGAGUUUUAAAGGAGUUGAGGACAGAGGACAUAGCACAAAUAGUAUCAAAUAGCUCGGAUUUUUUCAUCUAGGAUGGAUGGGGUAGGGGCAGAGGGCACAGUGGUUCUAGGCAACUCCAAACACCUGGUAAGGCAGCUAUAAGGAAACAGUACAAUGAAAGGUCAACCCUUAGACCUAUUAUUUGUCAAUCCCUAGAGCAUGAUAGAAUAUCUAACAAGAAGAGCUGCUUUGGAGACAAGUCAUAAAAGAUUCUUUCAUAGAAGAGAUUUAGAAGAGGGGAACUUGGGACUCCUGGGUGGCUCAGCAGUUGAGCAUCUACCUUCGGCUCAGGGCGUGAUCCUAGAGUUCUGGGAUCGAGUCCCUGCGAGGAGCCUGCUUCUCCCUCUCCCUAUGUCUCUGCCUUCUCUGUGUCUCUCAUGAAUAAAUAAAUAAAAUCUUUUUUUAAAAAAAGGGGAACUUCCAGUUAUGUCAUAUGGGCAUUACAGCUUUUAAAAGCAUCUGUUCCCUAUAUAGGUCAUGGAGAUUGACACUAAUCUCAGCUUGUGUGCUGACUAGGCCAGUAUUGACAUAGAAGUUUCAUGCUCUUGGAGAGAUACUGCCACUCUCUUGCUUUGACAGGUGUUCAUCUGUAGUAUGAGUCCAGUACUUGAAGGAACAAGAGGACAACAAGCAUCCAGGGGACAACAGUGUGGUCUUCUAAGUAAAGAUGGCAACAGAAAAGAUCAUGGACUUGGCUAGAUUGGGCUGGGCUUGUUUGUUGUUUCAGAAUUUUAAAAAUACUUAUUUUCUUGAUGAUAAAAGUAACAUGAUCAUUGUUGAAAAAUCAGAGGUGUAAAUUAAAAAAUAAAGAACACCUAUAAAAAAAAAAAGAACACCUAUAAUCUUAUAACCUAGAAAACAACUCAAUAUUUGAGUAUGUUUCCUUUUAAGUUUUUAUUUUAAUUCCAGUUCGUAUACAGUGUUAUAUUAGUUUUAGGUGUAUAAUUUUAAAGCAAAAUUGACAUCAUACUGUGUAUGUUGUUCUCCAUCUUUUUUCAUUUGAAAAUAAACAGUGUAUUUCCAUGUCAUUACCAUCCUUUGAAAACACAGUAUUGUGUUACAUAAUAUUUCAUAUGGAUCUCACAAAAUUUAGGUAGAUGAUUACAUGCUCCUGGACAUUUUGCAUAUUACCAGUUUUGCCUAUAAAAUGUAAUAAACAUUGUACAUUAAUCAUUA